UUGGAGGGCAAGUCUGGUGCCAGCAGCCGCGGUAAUUCCAGCUCCAAUAGCGUAUAUUAAAGUUGUUGCAGUUAAAAAGCUCGUAGUUGAAUUUCGGGAUCAAUAUUUCGGUCAUGCCGUUGGUACGCACUAUUAUCAUUGAUUUCCCACCUUCUAAAGAACCGUAAUGCCAUUAAUUUGGUGUUACGGGGAACUAGGACUGUUACCUUGAAAAAAUUAGAGUGUUUAAAGCAGGCUCACGCUUGAAUACAUUAGCAUGGAAUAAUGAAAUAGGACAUCCGAUUCUAUUUUGUUGGUUUCUAGGAUCGAUGUAAUGAUUAAUAGGGAUAGUUGGGGGCAUUAGUAUUCAAUUGUCAGAGGUGAAAUUCUUGGAUUUAUUGAAGACUAACUACUGCGAAAGCAUUUGCCAAGGAUGUUUUCAUUAAUCAAGAACGAAAGUUAGGGGAUCGAAGACGAUCAGAUACCGUCGUAGUCUUAACCAUAAACUAUGCCGACUAGGGAUCGGAUGAUGUUAAUUUUUUAAUGACUCAUUCGGCGCCUUACGGGAAAC
rnacentral:rRNA from 1 species